rnacentral:rRNA from 1 species
UACGUAGGGUGCGAGCGUUAAUCGGAAUUACUGGGCGUAAAGCGUGCGCAGGCGGUUCGUUGUGUCGGCGGUGAAAGCCCCGGGCUUAACCUGGGAAUGGCCGUCGAAACUGGCGAACUGGAGUGUGGCAGAGGGGGGGUGGAAUUCCGCGUGUAGCAGUGAAAUGCGUAGAGAUCCGGAGGAACACCGACGGCGCAGGCAGCGUCCUGGCCGCUUGCUGACACUGAGGCACGAAAGCUGGGGGAGCAAACAGG